UACAGAGGGUGCGAGCGUUGUCCGGAAUUACUGGGCGUAAAGCGUGCGCAGGCGGUUUUGUAAGUCUGUCGUGAAAUCCCCGGGCUCAACCUGGGAAUGGCGAUGGAGACUGCAAGGCUAGAGUUUGGCAGAGGGGGGUAGAAUUCCACGUGUAGCAGUGAAAUGCGUAGAUAUGUGGAGGAACACCGAUGGCGAAGGCAGCCCCCUGGGUCAAAACUGACGCUCAUGCACGAAAGCGUGGGGAGCAAACAGG
rnacentral:rRNA from 1 species